rnacentral:tRNA from 1 species
GCCGGUGUAGCUCAGGGGUAGAGCAGCUUAUUCGUAAUAAGCUGGCCGUCAGUUCGAAUCUGACCACCGGCU